GGUGUAUGAUAGCACCUUAGUGCUGCUGUAAACUCCUGAGCGCUCAGCGGGGAAGCCAGCCUGGAAGAUCUGGGCAUGCU